UCCCUGGUGGUCUAGUGAUUAAGACUUCAUGCUUCCACUACAGGGGGCACUGGUUCAAUCCCUGUUCAGGGAA
rnacentral:tRNA from 1 species